CAAUAGCGUAUAUUAAAGUUGUUGCAGUUAAAAAGCUCGUAGUUGGAUUUCUGGUUGAAGCGACCGGUCGGGCGUUGAUUCGUCUGCACUGGAGUCGGUUUUGGCCAUCCUCUAGGAAAGUGCGUCUGGUAUUAAGUUAUCGGGCGUAUGAUCCUGGUCUUUUACUGUGAAAAAAUUAGAGUGUUUAAAGCAGGCCUUCGCCUUGAAUACAUUAGCAUGGAAUAAUAAGAUAGGACUUUGGUGCUAUUUUGUUGGUUGAGCCUAAAGUAAUGAUUAAUAGGGAUAGUUGGGGGCACCUGUAUUGCGUUGUCAGAGGUGAAAUUCUUGGAUUUACGCAAGACAAACAGCUGCGAAAGCGUCUGCCAAGGAUGUUUUCAUUAA
rnacentral:rRNA from 1 species